rnacentral:lncRNA from 1 species
GACUUAUCCUGUGCCGAAGAAAGUGUUUGAGUCUGGAAGCUCUUGGUUUUGUACUAUCUAGGCAAUUAACUUAAGUGAGAUAUUUUAUUUACAGACAGUGAGGUCUGAUGAGCCUAUGGUAAGGCAUCUACUUGCUAACUGCAACCAAAGAACCAAAAAUAGCUGUAAAAGGAAGGGAGAGGAGAAGAUGGUGAAAGAAUCUAGCAGUUAAAAUUUCCAGAACAACUUGUGCUAUGGUUGAACCUUAUGUGACAUUCAGCCUGCUUAUCUGCAUCCACAGGCUUCAAUGCAAGUAACAAGCUGUGUCAGGAAGAAAGCCUGAGUCGGUUCUGUUCCACAGCAUGGCUUUGGAUGGCUUUGUAGAGAAUAAAAAGAACCUGGAAAGAGAAUUAUUGAUUUGCAUUAUGGAAACCACUUCAACCAGGCACUGGAAAUCUUUCAAGGCUUGUGUGCUGGCUCAUAUUUUCCUUUCCCAAGGCGGAGGUUAA